rnacentral:rRNA from 1 species
CAAGGCAGGCAGAUCCCAUUUUCUGCCACCGAAUACAUUAGCAUGGGAUAAUGGAAUAGGACCCUGUCCUCCUAUUUUCAGUUGGUUUUGGCAGCGCGAGGACUAGGGUAAUGAUUAAUAGGGAUAGUUGGGGGCAUUAAUAUUUAAUUGUCAGAGGUGAAAUUCUUGGAUUUAUGAAAGAUUAACUUCUGCGAAAGCAUCUGCCAAGGAUGUUUUCAUUAAUCAAGAACGAAAGUUAGGGGAUCGAAGACGAUCAGAUACCGUCGUAGUCUUAACCAUAAACGAUGCCGACCAGCGAUUAGGAGACGUUGAAUACAAAACACCACCAUCGGCGCGGUCGUCCUUGGCGUCUCGGUCCUUCACGGGGCCGGGGCGCGGGGGCGGCUUAGCCCGGUGGCACCGGUGAAUGACUCCCUAGCAGCUUGUGAGAA